CCCCCUCCCCCACUCUCCUCUCUUACCCGAUCCCCUCCCAACCCUAGCAGCCGCCGCCGCGCUCUCGUCCUCCUCCCCUCCUCCCCUACGCUGCGUCCUCCUGCCCUCCUCCCCUACGCUCUGCAGUAGUGCGGGCCGCCGCCUCACAGUACGAGGUGGGGCUACAACCACAACCCCAGCGCCUCUUCUGCACAGCCGUGCGACUCGAGACGGCAAGAUCCAGCCGUGACGGCCGAGAUUCAUCUCGCUGGCACGCUCCUCUGCCCUUCCUGAUCCUGACCACAAUGGUAAUGCGCGCGCGGCCAUCCCUCCCAGCGUGGUGGUGGACGAAGGAGGUGCACAUCUCCGGCAAGGUCAUCGUUCCUCCCUCCGGAUCCGUUCUGGCGCAAGGUGGCCACUAGGGUGCAGCACUCUCCGUCCUAAGGCGCCAACUGCCACCACCAUGCUCCCCCGAAGCGGCGCCAGAGUUGGAUAUGGCUACGGGGGCGUGGAUGUGGAGCGGCGCCAAAACUGGUCUAGAGCGGCGCCGGAGCGGCGGAUCUGACGAGUCGGAGCAGCAGAGCGGCGCCGGAGCCUCCACAUCGUCGUUGUCCUCACGCAUCCACGCAUGGGUGAAUGCUUCUUUUGUCCUGUUCACUCGGUCAUCGGACAAACCCUAGCCUGCUUCGACUGAUUUCCUUCUAUGCUCGGUUGUUUGAUGGGUUCGUUUCUCGUCGGCGGGAUGGUGCAAGGCGCAACUCCGACGCGGUUCCUCGCCGGUUGGACGGUGUUCAGGCACAACCCCGGCGCGCACUGAGUACUGCCUCGGCUACAGCCUCCCUCGGUGAGGUCCAUCUUCCUCCUGCCCCUCUGCUUCGGCUACUGUAUGGGACAUGGCCAUGGCUAUAUUGAUGUGGUGCUCGUCUGGUUGAUGCUCUAUGCCCUACUCAUGCAUCGGUUCCUAUUUGAGCUUUGUUGUUGUGGAUCCAUGCCAUUUUAGGGUUUGCAGGCUGCUGUUCAUGUUUAGUUGCUAUCAUAGGAGCUAAUGUGAUGCUCUGGUUUACAUGUGGAUGCCCUGGUCCUAUAGCUAUGCUCCUGGAUUUGCUAGAUUGAUCAGUGGCAUUCGUGCUAGGGUGAUGAUGAUUCAUCAUGGCUGAAAUAAGCGUGCCUUUGAGCAAUCGUGGCACCUGUGCGUAUCAGGUUGGAUCCUCCCUCUUGUCUCUAGAAUCCUUUUUGAUCAUGUGAUACUUGUUGUCCUUGGAUGGUCAAUCUUGUUGAGUGAUAACCAGGGCAGCUCCACUGUAUGAACAGAUUGAUCUGGUGAUAAGAGAUGACGGGGGUAUGUUAUAUGAUCGAGGAAAGGUGAAUCUGAGCCCGCUAUGCAAUGAACCCUGAAUCGAGAAUCCCAUUGUUAGAGUCUGAACCGAAAUGGAGCUUCCUCAGCUGUUUGGAUUUUUAGACGUCCGAUUGAAAGUCCGUCGUGAUACCGACCGUUCGAUCUCGAGCCCGAUCGCUGUGAGCCAUCCGAUUUUGACCUCGAUCGACCUGGGCCGUCGGAUAAAAUUCCAGUUGCAACAAAAUGUAAAUACCGUGCCCCCACCAGGGCAUCUGGGUCAUUUCGCUUAGGGGGGGGGGGUAUAAAAUGACCGGUGACUUUCUGCGAUGAAAACCUAGCCGCCGCGUCCUCUCUCACUCGCUCCUGCAGCUGCCUCCCUCCCUCCCACGCAGGUGGCUCCCAUGGCGAUGGCGGCAGCGGCCACGGAGGAGGGCGGCAUAUCAGCGGCACCGGCGAUGGUGUCCGUGGCGGCUAUGCAAUGAAUCUUGAACCAUUUUUAUUUGUAUUUAAAGGUGUUGCUUAUUUAUGCUCAAGUGGUGUUCGUGCUAGGGCGAUGAUGAUUACCUUGGCUGGAAUUAGUGUGCCUUUGAGCAAUCGAGGCACCAGUGGGCAUUAAGUUGGAUCCUCCCUCUUGUCUCUAGAAUCCUUUUUGAUCCUAUGAUACUUGUUGUCCUUGGAUGGUCAUUCUUGUUGAGUGAUAACCAGGGAAGCUCUAUUGUAUAAACAGAUCGAUCUGGUGAUAAGAGAUGAUGGGGGUAGGUUAUAUGAUCGAGGAAAGGCAAAUCUGAGCCCACUAUGCAAUAAAACUGCAGCUACCUCCCCUAAUAUGUGUAAUAUUGAAGGCAAAAAAGAACUUUUCAUGUCUUGUUACUUCAAAAUUCCAAAAGUUUCGUUCUUCCUUUUAAAUGCUACAAAUGUUCUCAAACUGGAUCAAAAAAUCUGAGCCCACUAUAUAAUCAAUGAUGUUUUAUGAAGGCCAUCUUAGUCCAAAUGUUAAUGCAUUCAUUUUAAAUGCUACAAAUGUUCUCAAACUGGAUCAUAUAUGUUUUAUGAAGGCCAUCUUAGUCCAAAUGUUGACUCACGAAUUGCCUAUCAGGAGUUCAAGCUAUGCUGAAUUGAAAUGAAAUUUCCAGUGUAUGUUAAAUGGAGAGCAUGGCAUUUUCUAUCCAGCAUUUAAUCUUUUCCCCAAAAUUAAAUGCUAAUAUUUGUGUGCUUGGCAACAUGAAUAGAGGCCACUCAUACCAAGUGCUCCUCAGAUAUAUUUAAUGAACAAUCCGAGUUUGAGGAGGUGCAAUCCAUUGAUAACCCAAACUUUGAACUCUCUAUUUGAAACAUUAAAACUUACCUCUAGGCCACAACCCACAAGUAUAAAAUCUUGAGAGUGCCUAAUGUUACAUCAGCUUUUAUUAUGUUCCAGAUACACUAUUGUGCCUGCUUAAUGAUCAGUGUUAAUGCUCUACGGUUUCUUAUGCUUUUUCUUGCAUAUGCUCAGGGGAAGACUGUUGAAGUUGGUAGAGUCCACUUUGCUACUGAAAAUACAAGAUUCACUAUCUUCGAAGCACCAGUUCUUUUCUUUCACAUUUUACGUCGAUGCUCCUAUGUCUUGGUUUAUUUUUCUUGCAUGCCACUGUUAUGCUUCUCUGGAUUAUCUAUGAUUUUGUGACCACACCAGCAUUCUGAGGGCCAGCCUAUAGUUUGAACUGUACAAGAUUGUAGUCUUUUUUUCUUGCCAAAUCUAUUCUGGUAAUGGUCAAUCUAUAUUAUUCGACCAUGCAUCAUAUGAGGGUUCAAAUAUAUAGAUUUUUGUUGUUACCUUAUAUUUUUAUCAGAAUAAGGAUGAACCUUGAAUUAUGUACCUUCCAAGCCCAUGUUUUUGAUCUUUACGCAGUUUGUUGUGUAAUUCUAAUGGGCACCUAUGUAGAUUUUUGUAUCCUGAUCAUAGGAAAAUUUGCUUUGUAUUAUUAUGGGAUGUGUUAUCUCUUAUCUCAAUGGCCACUCUCUUAUUUGAUGUGCCCACAUGCUUUUUUGAUGGAUGCGACCUGUUAUGUGGAUUGGACUUAGGCAGUGUGCGGCAAGCUGCACUACUUACCUGUUAAUGUACUUCUUAACAUUAGGGCAUCGUAUGUUGAAAAGGGAAAAUGACAGUGCUCUUAAAAUAUGCCUAUGCUAAUAUGGACAUACGAGUCACAUGUGCACCUGCUCAAUGAAGCCUUUAAAAGCCUUAUCAUUUUUUCUUUAUGUAGAUGACCUGAAGGCAUGUGUUAUGUCGGAUGGCAGCUGUUCCUAUGCUGAAGUUAUUUUUUCUCUUCCCUUUCUUCCAUUAUUUUCAUGUGUUUCAAUUAGAAGAAUUAUAUUUUAUUGUUGUGCCUACUGAUUAACUAGAACAAGUUGAGCCAAUAUUUAGACGUAGGAGUCAGCAUUAAUAGUUUAUGAGUAAUGCUUAUAGUUUACUGUCAACUACUUUUUACUCAUGAGCAUAUAUAGAUUGUGACCAUAAUUGUGGGCAUUACGGGAGGCAACUCACUGGAUAAAUAUAAUGGACUCUGGGUGGUGAAUUUGGUAGCUUUCGAAAUGGGCCUUACUCUCUGGUUUUUCCUUCCACGACAACAAGGUGUAGGAGUUGGCACGACGCUGUGUAAGGUACUGAUGAUCUCUGACAUGAGAUACUUAUGUGAUUCUAACGUCGAUGUCUCCGUUAGCAAGCAUAACAAUGUGCGCUGGUCGACUGGAAGUCAAGGUUCUGGCCGAUUGAUUUAUGUCUUGAAUUUCCUUAUAUUUUCCUUUGUGCUCAUCAAUCCCGUGAGUUAUUGUACAUGCACCCCCAUUCUUAUGCUGAAGAAUAAAAAAAUGUGAAUGAUUUUGUAAGAGUUCGGAGUACCAUGGGCUUUUCUAAAGAUUCACACCACAUCGACUUCUGGAGCAGGCAUUCACCUUAAUGCAGGGGGCGUAUGGUUGGUAACAAUCUUCUCAUGUUUAAUUAGCCUUUGCCCAAUUAAAAUCCACCAGUACUUCAUGGCCUGGUUGUGUUUGACCCCUUCUUGCUGAGUACUUCAUGGCCUGGUUAUGUUUUACCCCUUCGUGGUGCUGACUGGUGUGAUGUCCCAGUUAGAGCCUGGUUGUGUUUGACCCCUUUGUGGUGCUGACUGGUGUGCCGUCUCGGUCAGAGCCAACAUGAGGAAGGAGGUGGGGAGGACUUGUGUAGAUGAUGAGGGGUCAUGGAUUUGUGUAGCUAGCUACCAUGGCUAAUCUCGUGUCUGCUGCACAUAUUUAUUUUUAUGGGUUGCUUCCUGGUGUUCUAAUUUGAGAUUGCCUGCCCUACUUUUGGUAGUACCUCCAUCAAAACUACGAAGACAUUUUUUUAGUAAUGUUGUGCUUCUUGUGCCAUGCUUGUGGAUAUACUUUUUUGGGUUACAAAAUUUUAUGUGUUUCCAUUCUAGGUUCACUCAUCUCUUUAGAAUUCUAUCAACAGAUCUUUCAGAAAACACCUCGAGCAAGAUCUUCUGACGGAGCUAUCCAAUACGACACAGAAGAACUAUAUAUAUCCAUUCUCUUAGGCUACUGUUAGGACUUGCUUUUGGUAUAUCAUGUGACAUUUUCUAUGGCAUCAUCAAAGUGAUGUAAUUAACCAUUAUUGUUAUUAGUGCUUACUUCCUCCUAUAUCUUUUUUUGAGAAA